rnacentral:rRNA from 2 species
UUAAGCGACUAAGCGUACACGGUGGAUGCCCUGGCAGUCAGAGGCGAUGAAGGACGUGCUAAUCUGCGAUAAGCGUCGGUAAGGUGAUAUGAACCGUUAUAACCGGCGAUUUCCGAAUGGGGAAACCCAGUGUGUUUCGACACACUAUCAUUAACUGAAUCCAUAGGUUAAUGAGGCGAACCGGGGGAACUGAAACAUCUAAGUACCCCGAGGAAAAGAAAUCAACCGAGAUUCCCCCAGUAGCGGCGAGCGAACGGGAGCAGCCCAGAGCCUGAAUCAGUGUGUGUGUUAGUGGAAGCGUCUGGAAAGGCGCGCGAUACAGGGUGACAGCCCCGUACACAAAAAUGCACAUGCUGUGAGCUCGAUGAGUAGGGCGGGACACGUGGUAUCCUGUCUGAAUAUGGGGGGACCAUCCUCCAAGGCUAAAUACUCCUGACUGACCGAUAGUGAACCAGUACCGUGAGGGAAAGGCGAAAAGAACCCCGGCGAGGGGAGUGAAAAAGAACCUGAAACCGUGUACGUACAAGCAGUGGGAGCACGCUUAGGCGUGUGACUGCGUACCUUUUGUAUAAUGGGUCAGCGACUUAUAUUCUGUAGCAAGGUUAACCGAAUAGGGGAGCCGAAGGGAAACCGAGUCUUAACUGGGCGUUAAGUUGCAGGGUAUAGACCCGAAACCCGGUGAUCUAGCCAUGGGCAGGUUGAAGGUUGGGUAACACUAACUGGAGGACCGAACCGACUAAUGUUGAAAAAUUAGCGGAUGACUUGUGGCUGGGGGUGAAAGGCCAAUCAAACCGGGAGAUAGCUGGUUCUCCCCGAAAGCUAUUUAGGUAGCGCCUCGUGAAUUCAUCUCCGGGGGUAGAGCACUGUUUCGGCAAGGGGGUCAUCCCGACUUACCAACCCGAUGCAAACUGCGAAUACCGGAGAAUGUUAUCACGGGAGACACACGGCGGGUGCUAACGUCCGUCGUGAAGAGGGAAACAACCCAGACCGCCAGCUAAGGUCCCAAAGUCAUGGUUAAGUGGGAAACGAUGUGGGAAGGCCCAGACAGCCAGGAUGUUGGCUUAGAAGCAGCCAUCAUUUAAAGAAAGCGUAAUAGCUCACUGGUCGAGUCGGCCUGCGCGGAAGAUGUAACGGGGCUAAACCAUGCACCGAAGCUGCGGCAGCGACGCUUAUGCGUUGUUGGGUAGGGGAGCGUUCCGUAAGCCUGUGAAGGUGUACUGUGAGGUAUGCUGGAGGUAUCAGAAGUGCGAAUGCUGACAUAAGUAACGAUAAAGCGGGUGAAAAGCCCGCUCGCCGGAAGACCAAGGGUUCCUGUCCAACGUUAAUCGGGGCAGGGUGAGUCGACCCCUAAGGCGAGGCCGAAAGGCGUAGUCGAUGGGAAACAGGUUAAUAUUCCUGUACUUGGUGUUACUGCGAAGGGGGGACGGAGAAGGCUAUGUUGGCCGGGCGACGGUUGUCCCGGUUUAAGCGUGUAGGCUGGUUUUCCAGGCAAAUCCGGAAAAUCAAGGCUGAGGCGUGAUGACGAGGCACUACGGUGCUGAAGCAACAAAUGCCCUGCUUCCAGGAAAAGCCUCUAAGCAUCAGGUAACAUCAAAUCGUACCCCAAACCGACACAGGUGGUCAGGUAGAGAAUACCAAGGCGCUUGAGAGAACUCGGGUGAAGGAACUAGGCAAAAUGGUGCCGUAACUUCGGGAGAAGGCACGCUGAUAUGUAGGUGAAGUCCCUCGCGGAUGGAGCUGAAAUCAGUCGAAGAUACCAGCUGGCUGCAACUGUUUAUUAAAAACACAGCACUGUGCAAACACGAAAGUGGACGUAUACGGUGUGACGCCUGCCCGGUGCCGGAAGGUUAAUUGAUGGGGUUAGCGCAAGCGAAGCUCUUGAUCGAAGCCCCGGUAAACGGCGGCCGUAACUAUAACGGUCCUAAGGUAGCGAAAUUCCUUGUCGGGUAAGUUCCGACCUGCACGAAUGGCGUAAUGAUGGCCAGGCUGUCUCCACCCGAGACUCAGUGAAAUUGAACUCGCUGUGAAGAUGCAGUGUACCCGCGGCAAGACGGAAAGACCCCGUGAACCUUUACUAUAGCUUGACACUGAACAUUGAGCCUUGAUGUGUAGGAUAGGUGGGAGGCUUUGAAGUGUGGACGCCAGUCUGCAUGGAGCCGACCUUGAAAUACCACCCUUUAAUGUUUGAUGUUCUAACGUGGACCCGUAAUCCGGGUUGCGGACAGUGUCUGGUGGGUAGUUUGACUGGGGCGGUCUCCUCCUAAAGAGUAACGGAGGAGCACGAAGGUUGGCUAAUCCUGGUCGGACAUCAGGAGGUUAGUGCAAUGGCAUAAGCCAGCUUGACUGCGAGCGUGACGGCGCGAGCAGGUGCGAAAGCAGGUCAUAGUGAUCCGGUGGUUCUGAAUGGAAGGGCCAUCGCUCAACGGAUAAAAGGUACUCCGGGGAUAACAGGCUGAUACCGCCCAAGAGUUCAUAUCGACGGCGGUGUUUGGCACCUCGAUGUCGGCUCAUCACAUCCUGGGGCUGAAGUAGGUCCCAAGGGUAUGGCUGUUCGCCAUUUAAAGUGGUACGCGAGCUGGGUUUAGAACGUCGUGAGACAGUUCGGUCCCUAUCUGCCGUGGGCGCUGGAGAACUGAGGGGGGCUGCUCCUAGUACGAGAGGACCGGAGUGGACGCAUCACUGGUGUUCGGGUUGUCAUGCCAAUGGCACUGCCCGGUAGCUAAAUGCGGAAGAGAUAAGUGCUGAAAGCAUCUAAGCACGAAACUUGCCCCGAGAUGAGUUCUCCCUGACCCUUUAAGGGUCCUGAAGGAACGUUGAAGACGACGACGUUGAUAGGCCGGGUGUGUAAGCGCAGCGAUGCGUUGAGCUAACCGGUACUAAUGAACCGUGAGGCUUAACCUU